rnacentral:rRNA from 1 species
UACGAAGGGGGCUAGCGUUGCUCGGAAUCACUGGGCGUAAAGGGCGCGUAGGCGGCGUUUUAAGUCGGGGGUGAAAGCCUGUGGCUCAACCACAGAAUGGCCUUCGAUACUGGGGCGCUUGAGUAUGGUAGAGGUUGGUGGAACUGCGAGUGUAGAGGUGAAAUUCGUAGAUAUUCGCAAGAACACCCGUGGCGAAGGCGGCUCUCUGGGACGGUACUGACGCUGAGACGCGAAAGCGUGGGGAGCGAACAGG